ACGUGGCUUGUACAGAAAAAGAAC
rnacentral:siRNA from 1 species